rnacentral:rRNA from 1 species
GCAGCAGGCGCGCAAAUUACCCACUCCCAGCACGGGGAGGUAGUGACGAAAAAUAACGAUACGGGACUCAUCCGAGGCCCCGUAAUCGGAAUGAGUACAAUUUAAACCCUUUAACAAGGAACAAUUGGAGGGCAAGUCUGGUGCCAGCAGCCGCGGUAAUUCCAGCUCCAAUAGCGUAUAUUAAAAUUGUUGCGGUUAAAAAGCUCGUAGUCGAAAUUGUGUCAAGCGUCGCCGAUUCAUCGUUCGCGGUGUCAAUUGGCGAUAGCUUGACGUCCUGUCGGCGGGUUUAGCUCUUUUAGGGCGGCCCAAUCAUUCCUGCCGCGGUUCUCUUCAUUGAGUGUCGAGGUAGGCCGACUCAGUUACUUUGAACAAAUUAGAGUGCUUAAAGCAAGCGUCAAUUACGCAUGAAUACUAGUGCAUGGAAUAAUGAAACAGGACCUCGGUUCUAUUUUGUUGGUUUUCGGAACACCGAGGUAAUGAUUAAUAGGGACGGAUGGGGGCAUUCGUAUUGCGACGUUAGAGGUGAAAUUCUUGGAUCGUCGCAAGACGGACAGAAGCGAAAGCAUUUGCCAAAAACGUUUUCAUUGAUCAAGAACGAAAGUUAGAGGUUCGAAGGCGAUCAGAUACCGCCCUAGUUCUAACCAUAAACGAUGCCAGCUAGCGAUCCGCCGACGUUCCUCAGAUGACUCGGCGGGCAGCUUCCGGGAAACCAAAGCUUUUGGGUUCCGGGGGAAGUAUGGUUGCAAAGCUGAAACUUAAAGGAAUUGACGGAAGGGCACCACCAGGAGUGGAGCCUGCGGCUUAAUUUGACUCAACACGGGAAACCUCACCAGGCCCGGACACCGGAAGGAUUGACAGAUUGAGAGCUCUUUCUCGAUUCGGUGGGUGGUGGUGCAUGGCCGU